GGGUUGUGAGGUUAAGCGACUAAGCGUACACGGUGGAUGCCCUGGCAGUCAGAGGCGAUGAAGGACGUGCUAAUCUGCGAUAAGCGUCGGUAAGGUGAUAUGAACCGUAAUAACCG
rnacentral:rRNA from 1 species